UCUUCCCUGGCCCUGUUUUGGUAAAAAGCUGAGGGAUAGGGCUGGAUAAAUGUAACCACUCUUAAAUUUACAGACAGAGCUAUGGAUGCAAGGACUGACCGUCCAGGAUAUCAAAAUGGUUCCUGGAGGAGUAUGCCAAAUACAACCUGUCAUUCUGGGCCGUAACCACAGGCAACGAGCCCUCUGCUGGACAGAUGACCAACUACAGUUUCCAGGCUUCACAGUAGAGGAGCAGAGGGAUUGGGUGGGCCUGGACCUUGGAGCUCUCCCUGGGCACUACCCACCACCUGUACCCAGAAUACUACCUGUUUGGAACGGAGGCCUGCGCUGGCUGGAGCCCCUCAGACAGAGGAGUACGGCUGGGCAGCUGGGAGAGAGCUGAGCAGUACGCACACAGCAUCAUACAGGUCAUCGUCAGAGGUCCAGUUUGAGGUGUAUGAUCCUGCUGUGGGUUUCAUCUCCUCCAGCCCACUCCCUGCUCACACUCGCUUGGAACACACUCUGACCGCACUGGAAUGGAACACACACCUUUACUGCCAGGGUCAAAGCAUUGUCACAGUCCCCACUACCAGGUCUGCUACAUUUCCACCACUACACUCAACUCCCACCACCAUCCGAAGCCCAAUGUGCUGCCGCCUCAGAACAGCAUAUUUAAAAAUAUCUAAAAAUAUCUAAGCAUAUCUAGAAAUGUCUGUGUGGUUUAGCCAAUACAGCCAAAUAUGUUGCAUGUUCCUAUGUAUCUGCACUGAUCUUUAUCACGCUGGGAGAAGCUCUGGAAUGUGUGAAUAUAGCAUGUGAUCAAACCAGGACCAGGUACACUAACUACUAUGAUCAGACACUGCUGCUGCUUGAGACGGUCUGACCAUUACACUGCUAACAACCGUUUCUAAACUGAAAUCUGGUUUAGAAAAGAGAUCAUGUACCGAAUCUAUUAAUGCCGUUUAAACCAUUUGCCUUUUGAAUAAAUGAUGUGUCUCUAUUACGUCGUCACACAAGUAUCGGGACGUUUUAAUGGACAAACAGACCCGAUAAAAAUCAAUGUUAA